rnacentral:rRNA from 1 species
CACACCCUAAACGAUGAAUACUAGAUGUUGGUCUUUUUUAAGAUCAGUAUCCAAGCUAACGCAUUAAGUAUUCCACCUGGGAAGUACAAUCGCAAGGUUGAAACUCAAAGGAAUUGACGGGGGCCCGCACAAGCAGUGGAGCAUGUGGUUUAAUUCGACGCAACGCGAAGAACCUUACCUAGGCUUGAAACGCAGACUAAACCUGAUGAAAGUCGGGGUGCCGCAAGGCGAGUCUGUACAGGUGC